rfam:Spinacia oleracea cultivar SynViroflay scaffold25339.1, whole genome shotgun sequence.
AGCCUAUUAGCUCAAUUGGUAGAGCUUUGUGCAAUUACACAAUGAUGUAGGUUCGAAUCCUACAUAGGCUA